CAUAGCUUUGCUCAGUCAGUAGAGCAUUGCGCUAGCAACACAAAUGUCAUGGGUUCAAACCCCAGUAAUUAACG